UACGAAGGGGGCUAGCGUUGCUCGGAAUUACUUGGCGUAAAGCGCACGUAGGCGGCUCUUUAAGUCGGGGGUGAAAUCCUGGAGCUCAACUCCAGAACUGCCUUCGAUACUGUAGAGCUUGAGUUCGGGAGAGGUGAGUGGAACUGCGAGUGUAGAGGUGAAAUUCGUAGAUAUUCGCAAGAACACCAGUGGCGAAGGCGGCUCACUGGCCCGAUACUGACGCUGAGGAGCGAAAGCGUGGGGAGCGAACAGG
rnacentral:rRNA from 1 species